GGAGAUGUAAAGAAGGAGAGGGCACUAUGUACCACAUAUGGUGGACAUGCCUGAACAUUAGGGAAUAUUGGGGGCAGAUAGAGGAGAUUAUUCAGGAGGCAUUACACAUAGAAACUGAGCUACGGCCAGAAUGCGGCCUAUUAUUUAUGACACCAGACUCCUACACAAAACCCCUUGCAAGCUUACUAUACCACAUAAUAAUAGCUGCCAAC